rnacentral:rRNA from 1 species
GAUGAACGCUGGCGGCGUGCCUAAUACAUGCAAGUCGAGCGAACAGACGAGGAGCUUGCUCCUCUGACGUUAGCGGCGGACGGGUGAGUAACACGUGGAUAACCUACCUAUAAGACUGGGAUAACUUCGGGAAACCGGAGCUAAUACCGGAUAACAUGUUGAACCGCAUGGUUCAACAGUGAAAGACGGUCUUGCUGUCACUUAUAGAUGGAUCCGCGCCGCAUUAGCUAGUUGGUAAGGUAACGGCUUACCAAGGCAACGAUGCGUAGCCGACCUGAGAGGGUGAUCGGCCACACUGGAACUGAGACACGGUCCAGACUCCUACGGGAGGAAGCAGUAGGGAAUCUUCCGCGAUGGGCGAAAGCCUGACGGAGCAACGCCGCGUGAGUGAAGAAGGUCUUCGGAUCGUAAAACUCUGUUAUUAGGGAAGAACAAAUGUGUAAGUAACUAUGCACGUCUUGACGGUACCUAAUCAGAAAGCCACGGCUAACUACGUG